AACCUUAUAUUCAAUAUAUGAUAUUAAAAUGCAAUUUUAAAGUAAUAGAUUUUCUAUUAAGGUUU
rnacentral:tRNA from 1 species